rnacentral:rRNA from 1 species
UACGUAGGCAGCAAGCGUUGUUCGGAGUUACUGGGCGUAAAGAGUGUGUAGGCGGUCCUUUAAGUUCGGUGUGAAAUCUCCCGGCUCAACUGGGAGGGUGCGCCGGAAACUGGGGGGCUUGAGUGUGGGAGAGGAAAGCGGAAUUCCUGGUGUAGCGGUGAAAUGCGUAGAUAUCAGGAGGAACACCUGUGGUGUAGACAGCUUUCUGGACCACGACUGACGCUGAGACGCGAAAGCGUGGGGAGCAAACAGG